GGAUUAGUGGCGAACGGGUGAGUAACACGUGAGUAACCUGCCCUGGACUCUGGGAUAACCCCGAGAAAUCGGAGCUAAUACCGGAUAGGACCUGGAACCGCAUGGUUUUGGGUGGAAAGUUUUUUCGGUCUGGGAUGGACUCGCGGCCUAUCAGCUUGUUGGUGAGGUAAUGGCUCACCAAGGCGUCGACGGGUAGCCGGCCUGAGAGGGUGACCGGCCACACUGGGACUGAGACACGGCCCAGACUCCUACGGGAGGCAGCAGUGGGGAAUAUUGCACAAUGGGCGAAAGCCUGAUGCAGCAACGCCGCGUGAGGGAUGACGGCCUUCGGGUUGUAAACCUCUUUUAGUAGGGAAGAAGGGCUUCGGCUUGACGGUACCUGCAGAAAAAGCACCGGCUAACUACGUGCCAGCAGCCGCGGUAAUACGUAGGGUGCGAGCGUUGUCCGGAAUUAUUGGGCGUAAAGAGCUCGUAGGCGGUUUGUCACGUCUGCUGUGAAAUCCCGAGGCUCAACCUCGGGCCUGCAGUGGGUACGGGCAGACUGGAGUGCGGUAGGGGAGAUUGGAAUUCCUGGUGUAGCGGUGGAAUGCGCAGAUAUCAGGAGGAACACCGAUGGCGAAGGCAGAUCUCUGGGCCGUAACUGACGCUGAGGAGCGAAAGCGUGGGGAGCGAACAGGAUUAGAUACCCUGGUAGUCCACGCCGUAAACGUUGGGCGCUAGAUGUGGGGACCAUUCCACGGUUUCCGUGUCGUAGCUAACGCAUUAAGCGCCCC
rnacentral:rRNA from 1 species